UCCUCAAUGGCUCAGAGAUAGAGCAUCAAUAAUUGACUGAUCAUAGGUUCGAAUCCUACUUGGGGAG